rnacentral:rRNA from 1 species
AUUGAACGCUGGCGGCAUGCCUUACACAUGCAAGUCGAACGGCAUCGCGGGAAAGCUUGCUUUCCUGGCGGCGAGUGGCGAGCGGGUGAGUAACACAUCGGAACGUACCGGCUAGUGGGGGAUAACCCGUCGAAAGACUGGCUAAUACCGCAUACGCUCUUCGGAGGAAAGCAGGGGACCUUUGGGCCUUGCGCUAGCCGAGCGGCCGAUGUCCGAUCAGCUAGUUGGUGGGGUAAAGGCCUACCAAGGCGACGAUCGGUAGCGGGUCUGAGAGGACGAUCCGCCACACUGGGACUGAGACACGGCCCAGACUCCUACGGGAGGCAGCAGUGGGGAAUCUUGGACAAUGGGGGCAACCCUGAUCCAGCAAUGCCGCGUGGGUGAAGAAGGCCUUCGGGUUGUAAAGCCCUUUCGGCAGGGAAGAAAUCGGCGGGGCGAAUAACCCUGCUGGAUGACGGUACCUGCAGAAGAAGCACCGGCUAACUACGUG